rnacentral:rRNA from 1 species
UACGUAGGGCGCAAGCGUUGUCCGGAAUUACUGGGCGUAAAGGGCUCGUAGGUGGCCAACUAAGUCAGACGUGAAAUCCCUCGGCUUAACCGGGGAACUGCGUCUGAUACUGGAUGGCUUGAGAUUGGGAGAGGGAUGCGGAAUUCCAGGUGUAGCGGUGAAAUGCGUAGAUAUCUGGAGGAACACCGGUGGCGAAGGCGGCAUCCUGGACCAACACUGACACUGAGGAGCGAAAGCCAGGGGAGCAAACGGG